rnacentral:rRNA from 1 species
AUGGCGGCGGCAUUAGCGUGGAGGUUCAAUGGAACCAACGGCGGCGCAGAUCUGGAUAAGGUUCAAGAUUCAGAGCCACCAACUCCUGUCUCGGUCAUGAGAAUGGGCAAGAACCGAGCCAAUAUGGAGGAUGAGGAGACACUUUCAAGUGUUGCUCAUUGUAUUGAGCAGUUGCGGCAGAGUUCUUCGUCCACUCAAGAAAAAGAAAGCUCAUUGAAGCAGUUAUUGGAUCUUGUUCAAACGCGUGAUACUGCAUUUGGAGCUGUUGCGUCGCAUUCACAGGCUGUUCCAAUACUUGUUUCUCUCCUCAGGUCUGGCUCAUCUGGAAUUAAGAUGCUGUCUGCUACUGUUCUUGGGUCUCUUUGCAAGGAAGAGGAGCUAAGGGUGAAGGUUCUGCUUGGUGGUUGCAUCCCUCCAUUGCUUGCUCUUCUCAGGUCCAAGUCAGCUGAAAGUCAGACUGCAGCUGCCAAAACAAUUUAUGCUGUUUCUCAAGGUGGGAUAAGGGAUCAUGUUGGUUCAAAGAUAUUCUCAACAGAAAAUGUUGUCCCAGUACUGUGGGAGCAACUCAAAGUUAGCCUCAAGAAUGAGAGUUUGGUGGAUGGCCUGCUAACCGGAGCACUGAAGAACUUGUCAAAAAGCACAGAGGGGUUUUGGUCAGCAACUGUGCGAUGUGGUGGAGUUGAUAUACUUAUAAAGCUGAUUGGUUCUGGACAGACAAAUACCCUAGCAAAUGUGUGCAAUCUUCUCGGGGCCUUAAUGAUGGAAGACUCAUCAGUUUGUUCAAAAGUUUUAUCAGGAGAAACAACAAAACAGCUCCUAAAGUUGCUUGGUCCUGGUAAUGAAACAUCUAUUAGAGCAGAAGCUGCUGGUGCUCUGAAAUCCCUUUCUGCGCAGAGUAAAGAAGCUCGGCGUGAGGUAGCUAGUUCUAAUGGGAUUCCUGCUCUUAUAAAUGCUACUAUUGCUCCAUCAAAAGAGUUCAUGCACGGAGAAUCUGCCCAAGCGCUGCAAGAAAAUGCGAUGUGUGCAUUAGCAAAUAUUUCUGGUGGUUUAUCUUAUGUAAUCUCAAGCCUUGGUGAAAGUCUUGAAUCAUGCUCUUCCUCUGCACAGAUUGCUGACACUCUUGGUGCAUUAGCCUCAGCCUUGAUGAUAUAUGACAUAAAUGCAGAAUCAAUCAGUGCAUCAGACCCUCUGGUCAUUGAGAAGACAUUAAUGAAACAGUUCAAGCCUAAGGCGCCCUUCCUUGUACAGGAGCGUGUAAUUGAAGCUUUGGCCAGCUUGUAUAGUAACCCAGUUCUCUGCAAGACACUUGCAGAUUCUGAUGCAAAACGUUUGCUUGUUGGUUUGAUAACCAUGGCAGGCACUGAGGUGCAAGAUGACCUGAUGACAUCACUCUUUGCUCUCUGCAAGAAAGAUUGCGAUUUAUGGCAAGCUCUUCAAGGCCGUGAGGGUGUUCAGCUAUUGAUAUCCUUACUUGGUCUAUCCUCAGAACAGCAGCAGGAAUGUGCUGUUGCUCUGCUCGCUCUUCUGUCAAAGGAGAAUGAUGAGUGCAAAUGGGCUAUCACUGCUGCAGGUGGUAUACCUCCUCUUGUUCAAAUAUUAGAAACUGGUUCUCCGAAAGCUAAAGAAGAUUCAGCAACCAUCAUUGGCAAUUUAUGCAAUCACAGUGAAGACAUACGAGCAUGUGUUGAAAGUGCUGAUGCAGUUCCUGCUUUGCUAUGGCUUCUCAAAAACGGAAGUGACAAUGGCAAAGAGAUAGCAUCCAAAACACUGAAUCAUCUCAUUCACAAGUCAGAUACUGGAACUAUUAGUCAGUUAUCUGCUCUGUUGACAAGUGAACAGCCUGAAUCAAAAAUUUAUGUUCUUGAUGCUUUGAAAAGCUUGCUUUCUGUUGCACCACUUAAUGAUAUUCUGCAUGAAGGAAGUGCUGCAAACGAUGCAGUUGAGACAAUGAUCAAAAUUCUAAGCUCCCCAAAAGAAGAAACUCAGGCUACAUCAGCAUCUGCUCUUGCUGGUCUAUUCCAUUGCCGCAAAGACUUGCGAGAGACACAUAUUGCAGUGAAGACACUUUGGUCAGUCAUGAAACUGAUUGACGUGCAGUCCGACAGAAUACUAAUGGAGGCCUCAUGUUGCCUUGCUGCCAUUUUUCUUUCAGUCAAGCAAAAUAAGGAGGUUGCUGCAGUUGGACGGGAUGCACUUGCUCCACUAGUCUCACUUGCAAGUUCAACAGUUCUUGAAGUAGCAGAGCAAGCAACCCGAGCUUUGGCAAACCUUUUUCUUGAUCAUGAAUUGUCUGCGCUGGUAUCUUUUGAAGAAAUUAUGUUCCCUAUAACUCGUGUUCUUAAGGAGGGUACUCUUGAUGGAAGAAUUCAUGGAGCAGCAGCAAUAGCUCGCCUUUUGCAGUGCCGGCCCAUUAACCAAGCUAUCUCAGAUACUAUUAAUCGCUCUGGUGCUGUCCUUGCUCUAGCUGGUCUCUUGGAAGCUGCUGAUGGUGAUGCUUCGGCAACAUCAGAAGUUCUUGAUGCACUGGUGCUAUUAUCAAGAUCGAAGGUGUCAAAUGGGCAUACCAAGGCUCCCUGGACAGCUCUUGCAGAAAAUCCCCACACCAUACUUCCCCUUGUUUCUUGUGUAGCUGAUGCAGUACCCGCCUUGCAAGAUAAAGCCAUAGAAGUUUUGUCAAGGCUCUGUUUGGACCAACAUGAUGUUGUGGGUGGUUUGGUUUCUGAAAUCCCAGGUUGCAUAUCAUCAGCAGCACGGCGGGUCAUUGGUUCUAACCUUCUGAAAGUUAAAGUUGGUGGAUGUGCUCUUCUUGUUUGUGCAGCAAAAGAGCAUUGUCAAAAGCAGAUUGAGAUACUGAGUGAUUCAAGUCUGUACAUUCAGCUAAUUCAUUCUCUAGUUGGUAUGAUCAAUACAGCAAACUUACCUUCUGAAAAUGGAGAUGGUGAAAGUAUAGCAGACAUUAAAAUUUCCAGGCACUCAAAAGAAAAUAGCAGUGAUGCUGAAAUGGUGCCCCACACUGCUGUUAUCUCGGGUAACAUGAUUCCACUCUGGCUACUUGCUGUCUUUGCUCGCCAUGACGACAAAACAAGAGCAGAAAUUCUAGAAGCUGGAGCAGUUCAAAUGCUCACUGAGAAGAUUUCUCAAAAUGCAUUUCUAUAUGUGGGUGAAGAAGAUAAUACCGCAUGGGUCUGUGCCUUACUUCUUGCAUUGCUAUUUCAAGAAAGAGAGGUCAAUCGAUCUAAUUCAGCAUCCCAUUCAAUUCCUGUGCUCUCAAACUUGUUAAGGUCAGACGAGCCAGCAUACAGGUACUUUGCCGCACAAGCUUUGGCAAGUCUGGUUAGUAACGGUAGCAGAGGAACUCUUCUGGCUGUUGCUAAUUCUGGAGCAGCCACUGGACUUAUAUCUUUGCUUGGAUGUGCUAAUGUUGAUAUAGCUGAUCUCUUGGAGUUAUCAGAGGAAUUCAUGUUGGUGCCUAAUCCUGAUGAAACUACGCUGGAAAGGCUAUUCAGAGUUGAUGAUAUCAGGGUUGGUUCAACUUCCAGAAAAUCCAUUCCUCUUCUUGUUGAUCUACUUAAACCCAUUCCAGAAAGACCUGGUGCUCCUUUCUUGGCAUUGGGUCUUUUGACACAAUUGGCUGUUGAUUGUGUUCCAAACAUGCUGCUAAUGGCUGAAGUUGGAAUCCUAGAAGCACUUACCAAAUACCUAUCACUUAGCCCACAAGACGCAACAGAAGAAGCUACAACUGAGUUGUUGGGCAUUCUUUUUAGUUGUGCGGAAAUAAGGCAACAUGAAUCAGCACUUGGUGCUGUAAACCAACUUGUGGCAGUCCUUCGUCUAGGAGGAAGAAAUUCACGCUAUAGCGCGGCAAAGGCAUUAGAAAGUUUGUUUUGUGCAGACCAUGUCAGGAACAGUGAGUCAGCUCGACAGGCUAUUCAGCCGCUUGUAGAAGUUCUGAGUACUGGCAUGGAGAGGGAGCAGCAUGCAGCCAUAUCAGCACUUGUUAGGCUGCUUUGUGACAAUCCGUCAAGAGCACUUGCAGUUGCUGAUGUUGAGAUGAACGCAGUGGAUGUUCUGUGCCGGAUUCUGUCCUCAGAUUGUUCAGCUGAGUUGAAAGGUGAUGCUGCUGAACUGUGCGGUGUUCUGUUUACAAAUACAAGGAUCCGCUCUACAAUGGCUGCAGCCCGUUGUGUGGAACCUUUGGUCGGUUUACUGGUUAGUGAAGCUAACCCGGCCCAGCUUUCUGUAGUCCGUGCACUGGAUAAGCUCCUAGAUGAUGAACAGCUCGCUGAAUUAGUGGCAGCGCAUGGGGCAGUCGUUCCUCUUGUUGGGCUUUUGUUUGGCAAAAAUUUCAUGCUUCAUGAGGCAGUUGCCAGAGCUUUGGUGAAGAUUGGAAAAGAUAGGCCGGCUUGCAAAUUGGAAAUGGUCAAAGCUGGUGUAAUUGAGAGCAUUCUUGAUAUUCUUCAUGAUGCUCCAGAUUUUCUUUGCACUGCAUUGGCGGAAAUGCUUCGGAUUUUGACAAAUAAUGCUAGCAUAGCAAAAGGCCCAUCUGCAGCCAAAGUAGUACAGCCUCUUUUCUCUCUGCUAUCGAAGGCAGAUACUGGUCCGGAGGGGCAGUAUAGCACUUUGCAGGUUCUUGUCAAUAUUUUGGAGCAUCCUGAAUGCCGAGCUGAUUACAACUUGACACCCCGCCAAACAAUUGAGCCAGUCAUUACUUUACUGAAUUCAUCUCCACCAGCUGUGCAACAAUUGGCGGCGGAGCUCCUAUCUCAUCUUCUCCUGGAAGAACACCUCCAGAAGGAUACAGUAGCAGAGCAAUCCAUCCCUGCCCUCAUUCAAAUUCUCUCAUCAGGUUUGCCAAAUUUACAGCAGAGAGCUAUAAAAGCUCUUGCUAAUCUUGCAUUAGCCUGGCCAAAUACAAUUGCAAAGGAGGGUGGUGUGUUUGAGUUGUCCAAGGUGCUGCUGCAAUCUGAUCCUCCUUUGCCUCAUGUUGUAUGGGAAUCUGCAGCAGCUGUCCUGUCUAGCAUUUUGCAGUACAGUACCGAGUUUUUCCUUGAGGUUCCUGUUGCGGUACUAGUGCAGUUGCUCAGAUCAGGGACUGAAAGUACCGUUGUGGGUGCACUGAAUGCCCUGCUUGUAUUGGAGAGUGAUGAUUCAACAAGUGCAGAAGCAAUGGCUGAGAGUGGUGCUGUAGAAGCUCUUCUGGAUCUCUUGAGGAGUCAUCAGUGUGAGGAAGCUGCUGCAAGACUCAUUGAGGCAUUGCUGAACAACAUAAGAAUAAGGGAGGCGAAGGCUGCUAAAAAUGCUAUUGCACCUUUAUCCAUGUACCUUCUGGAUCCACAGACACAGUCUCAACAGGGAAGAUUGCUUGCUGCUCUUGCUCUUGGAGAUCUUUUCCAAAAUGAAGGUCUUGCUCGUUCUACUGAUGCCGUCGCAGCAUGCCGUGCUCUGGUCAAUCUUCUUGAAGACCAGCCAACCGAAGAGAUGAAAGUGGUAGCCAUUUGUGCCUUGCAGAAUCUAGUCAUGUACAGCCGAGCAAAUAAAAGAGCAGUUGCAGAAUCUGGUGGCGUCCAGACAGUUACUAUAAAGCGUGGCAACAAUCUGAGGCAAUCAGUGGGAAAUGCUAGUGCAUUCUGCAAGCUUACUCUUGGAAAUAAUCCAGCAAGGCUGACAAAGAUUGUCUCGACCGGUGAGUCACCUGAAUGGGACGAGGCCUUUGCAUGGGCUUUUGACAGCCCUCCCAAGGGCCAGAAGCUUCAUAUCUCUUGCAAAAACAACAGCAAAUUCGGAAAGAAAUCGUUUGGCAAGGUGACGAUCCAGAUCGACCGGGUCGUCAUGCUGGGGUCAGUCGCCGGAGAGUACACCCUGCUCCCGGAGAGCAAAAGCGGUCCGAAUAGGAACCUGGAAAUCGAGUUCCAAUGGUCGAACAAAUGA